GCCUUGCUGUCAUCUUGGUUAACUAUAACAAAGAGGACAAGUUACAAGUGCUUUAGAAGAGCUUGUAAAGUGUAUCUUAUCAGUUAGUUUGUACCACUAACGAAGUCUUUUGCCAAUGUCAGAUUUUAGCAUUACCACUUUACCAGCGCAAAGGUUGUGGCCGCUAUUGGAACAGAAAUGGUGAUUCGAACUGUCCCUGCUGAGACUUUAAAGCAGUUUUAUCAGAAAUGAUACCGGUUAUGUCAUGUGGCAGUAAUAGCUGUUGGAGACUUUCCUGAUAAUCAGGUUUGGUAUCAUUGUAUGUCAACUUCCCAUCCCAAAGCACCGUGUUUAGUUUCCAAAAUUCCAGGAUUACUAAAGCUCUCCUUCUCCAUGACAGAGUGUUGUGGAUAUGAUAAACACUCAUUUCAGGCAGAAAGGCGCAGUCCUCGACAAACAACGAAUUCCUAACAAUUCAGUUCCAUCUCAUGGCGAAUAUCGGUUUUCAUAUUUUGUUGAAUGUAAAGCUGCUGCAGUGAGUGCAUGAGUGUGGUAAUGAUCAGCUACAAAAUGCCAGCUGAUGAUUUAAAAACCAUGAAGGACUACAAGGACUUGCUCAUAGAAUCCGUGUUUCUUCAUGCCCUAAACCAAAGAUUCUUCAAGCAAUCUCAGAGGAGAGAUCCGACCUAAUUCUCAUGUUCAGCUGAUUCAGAUGUCUUAGUUCGUCCACUAAAGGCGUACAUGACAACAGCAUUGUGCAAAGGAGGACGAACCAUGGAGGCUCUAGAAUCAAUUCUCUUGGAGCAAUAGGUUUGUCUAUUGCUUGCUAUACUCGAACCAUUUUAUCUUGGUGAAAGUUAAGUUGUAAGCAGUCUAACCUUCUUCACUGUAUCCUGGAGGUCAAGCAAUUUUCAAAGAUGUUCUACUAAGUCUUUGUUGCUGCAGGAUACUCAGCUCUAGAAUCUAUUGAUCAUGAACAAAAAAAAAUCUAAUUGAACCUGAAGGUGCCAAUUUUGUUCACUUGUUUCCCUUGAUGAGCACU